UACGAAGGGGCUAGCGUUGCUCGGAAUCACUGGGCGUAAAGGGUGCGUAGGCGGCGGGGCAAGUCUGAUGUGAAAUCCCGGGGCUCAACCCCGGAACUGCAUUGGAUACUGCCUUGCUAGAGUACUGGAGAGGGAACUGGAAUUUACGGUGUAGCAGUGAAAUGCGUAGAUAUCAGGAGGAACACCUGUGGUGUAGACAGCUUACUGGACCAUUUCUGACGCUGAGACACGAAAGCGUGGGUAGCAAACAGG
rnacentral:rRNA from 1 species